CUGAUGCAGCGACGCCGCGUGGGGGAUGACGGUCUUCGGAUUGUAAACCCCUUUCAGUAGGGACGAAGCGCAAGUGACGGUACCUGCAGAAGAAGCACCGGCUAACUACGUGCCAGCAGCCGCGGUAAUACGUAGGGUGCGAGCGUUGUCCGGAAUUACUGGGCGUAAAGAGCUCGUAGGCGGUUUGUCACGUCGUCUGUGAAAUCCCUCGGCUUAACCGGGGGCGUGCAGGCGAUACGGGCAGACUUGAGUACUACAGGGGAGACUGGAAUUCCUGGUGUAGCGGUGAAAUGCGCAGAUAUCAGGAGGAACACCGGUGGCGAAGGCGGGUCUCUGGGUAGUAACUGACGCUGAGGAGCGAAAGCAUGGGU
rnacentral:rRNA from 1 species